rnacentral:rRNA from 1 species
CACGUAGGGGGCAAGCGUUGUCCGGAUUUAUUGGGCGUAAAGAGCUCGUAGGUGGUUCGGUAAGUCGGGUGUUAAACCCCCAGGCUCAACCUGGGGACGCCACUCGAUACUGCUGUGACUAGAGUCCGGUAGGGGAGCGUGGAAUUCCUGGUGUAGCGGUGAAAUGCGCAGAUAUCAGGAGGAACACCAGCGGCGAAGGCGGCGCUCUGGGCCGGUACUGACACUGAGGAGCGGAAGCGUGGGUAGCAAACAGA